GGCCAUAUCACGUUGGAAAACCGAAUCUCGUACUAUCACCGAAGUUAAACAACGUCGAGCCUGGUCAUUAUUUGGAUGGGUGACCACUUGGGAAUACCAAGUACUGUAAG